rnacentral:ncRNA from 1 species
CUUUAUUGUUUAGAUUCGUUGCAAUCAUCAAUUCGGUCUGCCAAAUUUGAUUCAACAUCAUUCUUAUUAUUCAUUUUCAUGUUGUCUCCUUUCUAUUUGAUAGAAAUUUGAUAGAGUUCAACUAAAUGUUUAGGUGUACGACAACCUUGUGUCAGGAGCUAAGGGAUAGUCUUAGGUAGACAGUUUCUAUGGGGCGUAGGCCAUCCAAAAGGUAACGGAGGUGUGCAAAUGUUUCAUUGGGCUAGAUGGGGAUUGGUCCUCUAGUGAAAAGGAAGAAAGGAGCUUGGCUACAAGACCCACCCAUUGAGUAGGGACGAAAGUCAACCUUAAUGUUCCAAUGGUGCCAAGUGGAACGGUCAUCGCUCAACAGAUAAAAGUUGCUCUAAGUAUUAUAGGUUGAUCUUCUCUAAUAGCUCACACCAACGGGAAGGUUUGGCACCACGAUGUCAGCUCUUCGCCACCUAGGGCUGUAGUAUGUUCCAAGGGUUGGGCUGUUCGCCCAUUAAAACGAUACGUGAGCUAGGUUCAGAACGUCGUGAGAUAGUGCAUUAGAACAUUGAGAGGACCUUUCCCUAGUAUGAGAGGACCGGGAAGGACGCACCUCUGGUGUACUAAUUAUCGUGCCCACAGUAAACGCUAGGUAGCCAAGUGCGGAGCAGAUAACUGCUGAAAUUUGGCAUACCUAAAACUGACAUGCUAAUAUUUAAAAUGAUCACCAUAAUAAAGAC